UACACUCCUACGGGAGGCAGCAGUGGGGAAUUUUGGACAAUGGGGGCAACCCUGAUCCAGCAAUGCCGCGUGAGUGAAGAAGGCCUUCGGGUUGUAAAGCUCUUUUGUCAGGGAAGAAACGGUGGUGGCGAAUAACUACUACUAAUGACGGUACCUGAAGAAUAAGCACCGGCUAACUACGUGCCAGCAGCCGCGGUAAUACGUAGGGUGCAAGCGUUAAUCGGAAUUACUGGGCGUAAAGCGUGCGCAGGCGGUUGUGUAAGUCAGAUGUGAAAUCCCCGGGCUCAACCUGGGAAUUGCAUUGGAGACUGCACGGCUAGAGUGUGGCAGAGGGGGGUAGAAUUCCACGUGUAGCAGUGAAAUGCGUAGAUAUGUGGAGGAAUACCGAUGGCGAAGGCAGCCCCCUGGGAUAACACUGACGCUCAUGCACGAAAGCGUGGGGAGCAAACAGGAUUAGAUACCCCGGUAGUCCCA
rnacentral:rRNA from 1 species